rnacentral:rRNA from 1 species
GUUUGAUCCUGGCUCAGAGCGAACGUUAGCGGCGGGGCCUAACACAUGCAAGUCGAACGGGCUGUAGCAAUACAGUCAGUGGCGCACGGGUGAGUAACGCGUAGAUAAUCUACCUUCCGGCGGGGGAUAACAUUCCGAAAGGAAUGCUAAUACCGCAUAAGACCACGGGGUCCUCGGGCCCUGAGGGAAAAGGUGGCCUCUCCUUGGAAGCCAUCACCGGAAGAUGAGUCUGCGUCCCAUCAGCUAGUUGGUAAGGUAAUGGCUUACCAAGGCGAAGACGGGUAGCUGGUCUGAGAGGAUGAAAAUCAGCCACACUGGUACUGGAACACGGACCAGACUCCUACGGGAGGCAGCAGUGGGGAAUAUUGGGCAAUGGGCGAAAGCCUGACCCAGCCACGCCGCGUGAGUGAUGAAGGCC